UUCUUAAAUCUUCAGAAUCAUGGCUUUCGCCAACUAUCAUCCAUGCACAAAACUCAUGUUUUAUGCUCUUGUUUUUUAUCUGUCAAUAUCGUUAUCAGCCUCUACAGAUGCUACAAUGAAAAAACCCAUCGCAAGAAGUUUGUUACCUCUUCAAAAGAAAACUAUUGUGAUAAGAAAUUCUGCAAUUAACAAAGAAGUUAUGAAUAUACAUUGCAGCUCUACAGAAAGUGAUUUGGGGUUAAAGCAUAUCCCUUAUUUUCAGGAUUAUACUUUCCAUUUUAGGGUAAAUUGGAAAGGCACCACAAAAUUCCGUUGCCAUGUUACAUGGCGUGGAGGUGGAGAUCAUUGGUUUACUGUAUUCGAACGUGGGAGAGACAAAUGUAGUGAAUGUGUUUGGCAGGUCUACGGUGAAGGUGGAUAUGGUGAUAAACCUCUGAUGUAUUAUAAUCGCGGGGACGAAGGCUAUCACCUUUUUGAUUGGGACUAACCUAAUUGGGACACAUAAUUUCAAAACCAGAAAACUACUCUAUAAUAGAUCAACUAAAUAAUAUAAUUUGACUAAGAUUUGUAACUUAGUAUUUUAUGUUAUUAUUGUUGUUGUAUCAUCUUGUAAAUUUAAAUACAAUGUAAUUUGGUAUUUAUGAGGUAUUUCUUGAUUAUAAUCAUACCUCAUAAAUGCCAAAUACUAAAGUGCUAUAAACGUUACUCACUAUAUUCAAAUCUAAAUAUAACAUAAAUAUUUGUAAGACUUUGAAAUAAAUUAUUUGAUUUUUUUUUCUUGUGUUCUAUUUUUGAAAUAAAAUAUGUGCUAGUGAUAUCCUAUGAUAUUUUUCUUAAUGUAAAGAAGUAGAGUAUUUUUGUCAAAGUGAUAUUCUUAUCAUAUUAAAAAUAGAUUCUCCCUCUGUUUCUUUUUUUUAUGAUGUCUUAUCAUAUUAAAAAUAGAUUCUCCCUCUGUUUCUUUUUUUUAUGAUGUUUUAAAUGAUAUAUUUGUUUCAAUUUAAUUAUAUGAUAUUUUGAAACUUUUUUGUCUAAAACUAAUAAAGUAAUUAAUCCUACUAUAUAAUAGCAGCUAAUUUAAAGGCUAAAGAGAGAUGCCACAUAGACAAAAUAAUCCCCACCAAUCAUAUUGCCAUGUCACUAGUAUUGGGCUUCCAAUUAAAAUUAAAAUGUUCAGGCUUCGUUUACAAUAAAACGUUCGGGCUUUGUACACAGCAGCUUAUGUGGGGCCCAUAAACAUCAGGUGUAUCGUACUCUUACCCGUAGGCUGUCCCUAGGCAGUUUUUAACUAUUGAAUCAAAAGUAAAAAAAAGAAGAAGCUAAAAUCUGACAAGUUGUAGAGGGGGCGACGACACGUUGUUGGCACCACCCAUGUCCCAAGAAAGGAAAGAGUACGAUUACACAAUUUAUAAACUGUUAUUUUGAUGAUAAAGUAUUGUACUUAAAAAUUAUAGAACAAUAUUGUACGAUUGAAGCAAUAUAGCAUGGUUAGAUUCAAGGUGUUGGAUUACACGCUUGUGUUCUGUAAUGAAGAAUUUAAUUACUAAAUAUUUAUUCGAUUUGUAGCUAGAUGUUUUGCCAGCGACGCGGGCUUAAAUAUUUUCAUAAAAUUUUGAAAACAUUCUUUGUAUACCAUAUUCAUUACUAAAAUAAAUUUUAAAAUAACUCAAUAUUAUAUUUUUAAUUAUAUAAUUAAAAAAUUUUAUUUGAUUAAUAUUUAGUUAUAUAAUUUAUGUUUUGAACGCUUUACUAAAAUACUUUUUCAGAUAACAAUACAGUAUAUAUAUAGAAAUUAUCUUCUUUUUUAAUUAUAUUUUUAGAUUUCAGUUAAUUCAAUAUUAUAUUUUUAAUUAUAUAAUUAAUAAUUUUAUUUAAUUAUUAUUUAGUUGUAUAAUUUAUGUUUUUAACUUCUUACUAAAAGACUUUUUCAGAUAACAAUACAAUAUAUACAUAAAUUAUCUCCCUUUUAAAUUAUAUUUUCAGAUUUUGGAUAAUUCUUACUGUUAUUAAUAUUAAUCAAUUAUCUAAUCAAAUCAAUUAAAAUUUUGUUUAUAUUAUUUUUAAUUUAUUUAUAUAUUUUAUUCAUUAAGGGUAUAAACAAUAUUAACCACUCUAACUUUGAACGUGAGAGCUCGAUUCCAAAAAUUUAUUUUAUUUGAUUAAUAUUUAAUUAUAUAAUUUAUGUUUUUAACGUUUUACUAAAAUACUUUUUCAGAUAACAAUACAAUAUAUAUAUAAAUUAUCUUUUUUUAAUUAUAUUUUUAGAUUUUGGAUAAUUCAAUAUUCUAUUUUUAAUUAUAUAAUUAAUAAUUUUAUUUUAUUAAUAUUUAUUUAUAUAAUUUAUGUUUUUACUUUUUUACUAAAAGAGUUUUUUCAGAUAACAAUACAAUAUAUACAUAAAUUAUCACUUUCUUAAAUUUUAUUUUCAGAUUUUGGAUAAUUCUUACUAUUAUUAUUAUUAAUCAAUAAUCUAAUCAAAUUAAUUAAAAUUUUGUUUUUAUUUUUUAAUUUAUUUACACAUUUUAUUCAUUAAGGGUAUAAACGUUAUUAACCACUCAAACUUUUAACGUGAGACCUCGAUUCUAAAAAUUUACUUCGCAAAUAAUAGUUUAGAUGUGCACAACACUUGCCGGUGGGCCAGAUAAAUAACUUUCUCGCAGCCCAGCCCAUUAACCCUAAUCGUCGUAUUGGUAAAACUAAAGCUAAAGCUUUCUCAUCCUCUCAGUAACCCUAAUUGUCGUCUCCCCCAUUUUUCUUCCCGCAUGGCGAUUAUCUUCGUCUCCCCCAAAUCUUUCCGCAAAACACCUCCGAUGAAAGGGCUGGAACUUCAAUGUUCUCCCUUAAAGCCUCCAUUCAAGAUCCCUACGGACCUUCCACAUCCCCUUCCGCUUUAUAUCUAGAUCCCUAUUUAUACUCUUAUCUCUCUUAUCUCAUAUCAUACCCUUAUCUCUCUUACCUCAGAUCGUUAGCUCUAUACCCUAAUCAUGGCGAAAAAAAGUGGCCGCUCUACAAGACUAUUCACAAUAUACCUCGCAGACAUCGUCUACGUCUUAUCUUAUUUUAAUUCUUUUUCGUUAUCUACCAGAUUCUAUUCCCUUUGGACAAUUACUUAUUUCUACUGUCAAACUAUUUUGUUUCUACGUCUUCACAUAAAAAAACAAAACUUAACUCACACUUUCAGAAACUAAAACUCCAAAUUUUAAUAAAACAUUACUUUAAUUACACAUGUAAUCCGCGCGAAGCGCGGACACCGGCUCUAGUUAAAAUAAUAAGAGUUAAUGUGUGGUUUUGUCUUAUUUGUUCAAAAUAGCAAAAUGAUUAAUUAUUUUAUUUACUUUUUUGUUGUAAUCAAGUACUUUUAAUAAAAAUAAACUUUUUCUUAGUUUAUGUGUUUAUGCUAAAAUAUCAUACAAAAAUAAAUAUAGGGAGUAUAUUCUUUUGGAAGAAUUUUAUAAAUAAAUGGCAACAAUUUACUAUAAAUGUUUUCCUAUCUUCUAAAUUUAAAUACGAUGUAAAAUAUGAGUUGUUGAAAGAGAAAAAAAAUACUUAUUUCUUAUCUAGUUCCUAGUAAACAGAUUCUAUAUAAAAAUAUCAAGUAAUUCCCCAAUGUCUCAGUCUGUCUCUUGUUGCUAAUCUCUCUCGCAGUAGGAGCCAAGUGAUAAGGGGUACUUGGGAGCUUUUUCUUUGAACCAAACCACCGAAAACCAAGGAACUGGUGGAGGAGGAGGGUUAAGGUUUAGCCAUGUUUUUACGGAAGAGAAGCCUGUGACAGAGUCAGUUGGCGUAAGCUUCCACUCAUAAUAAUCAUGUUCAUCAGAGUUAACAUUUAGAGGUUGAAAAGGGAGACAAUUCCGAAGCAGACAUUGCAGCGGGUGUCUACUAUUCGAAAUCCUCCAGGCACCAUCUCAGAAAUCAAGAGUUGCCUUGUUACCUUUUCAGAAAAAAAACUAUUGCAAUAUCGUCCAAUAAAGGAUUGUAAAACAGAAAACCAAGUUUGUAUCUAUAUUAUUAAAGUUGAAGUACACAUUGAGAUUGUUUGGCAACAUGAAUUGUAGUUAAAAAAUAGUAGUGUUUGGAAAAAUAGAUAGUAGUAAGUUAGAAAAAAAAUAAUGGGCUUAUGUUACUAAAAAUAUAUUAUAUUAAAAAGUAAUGAGUCUAUGUUACUUGAUAAUAUACAUAUUCAAAUCAAAAUAAUAAUUUAAAAUUGAUUUAUAUCAAAAAUUCAUUCAAAAAUAAAUAUAUAUUCAAAAUUUGAUUUUUACUAACAUAUUUUUCAAUAACUAUUAUAAUAAUGUUUUCAGUAUAUAUAAGAAAAAUACAAUACAAAGCCCAACUUCAAACACCAACUUAAAUUAUGGUUUUAUAUUUCACAUUAAAUUUAAAAAUAUAAUUUAUGUGAUUAUUUAUAUGAUUGUACGUAUAAAAUAUUAUUAAUUAUAAGAAAACUUAUUUGAUGGUACGUAUAAAAUAUGAUUAAUUAUAUGAUAACGCAUAUUUUGUAACGUAUGAUGACACAUAUAGGAUAUAUAUAUAUAUAUAUAUAUAUAUAUAUAUAUAUAAUCGUGAUUAGGGGUGGGCGUUCGGGUUCGUUUUCGGGUCUUUUUGGGAUUUCGUGUUCAUUUCAGAUCUUUGAGGAUUUGGUUCGGAUUUGGAUAAUCAAUUUAAAUAGGUUUGGUUUAAAUAUUUGGUAGAGAAUUAAUAAUUAUUUAAGUAUUUUUAGAGUUUUGAGUAUAUUUUAACUAUUUAAGAUAUUUAGUUUGAUUAUUUGUAUAUAUUUUCAAGCAUUUAAGCAAACUUAAAAGUAUCAUAUAUAUUCUGGAUGUUUUUAUAUAUAUAAAAUCUAAAAAUAAUUAAUAUAUAUAAGUAUAUAAAUAUAUUUUGAAUAUCCAAAAUACUUCGGUUCGGAUCGGAUUAGAUUUCAGUUCUUCAAAUACCAAAAUUUUGAAUAAUUCGGAUAUUUAAUCAAUUUCGGUUCGGAUUUAGUACUACUUAUUCGGAUUGGGAUCGGUUCAAUUUUUCGAAUUCGAGCUUUUUUGCCCAAUCCUAAAUAGUGACAUAAAAAUCAAAUAGCAUCAUAUUUUCUUUAAAAAAAUACACCCGCACGGGCGUGCGGGUCAAAACCUAGUUGAUAAUUAAAAAGUUGACACUCAUGUAUUUUAUAGUGAAUACAUAUAUUUAUUUAUUUUACAUCGUAAUUAACUUUUGACUAUAUAUCAUUCUUUUUUCCAUUAAAAUGUAUGGUAAUUGUUUAUUUUCUAAAAGUUAUGUAUGAAAAGUGUCAAGGAAAUUUUUGAAAAAAAAAAAAGAGAGUAAUGUAUGGUAAUUGUUUCAGGGAAAACUUUGUAACAUAUGUAUAAUGUCACUUUAUGUGUGUGUGGCAAUUCGUUAAACUUCUACGCAUUUUUAACAAACUCAACAUCAUGAGGUUUAAACUCAAAACUUAGAGACAACUAGUAAAAUAGCUCAUAUAUAGGCUACUCUUAUACUUAUCAAGUCCAUUGAUAAGCAGAUACGGAACAGGAUCAUCUCAUUGCAAGGACGAGGAGGAGGAACUAUCUCCCAAGCUUUAGCAGUUUGGUUUGAAGCUAGAGAAUAGUCUUUUGGCUCUUUUUUGGUUUUAAAAAUUACACAAACUACAUCUUAGUUGCUUUAGUUUGUACAAAAGCCUUUUUUUAUCUGAAUAAAUUUAACAUUCAUUAAAAAAAAAUGCAAUACAUGAUGUUUGAAUUGAUGAACCCUAGCUAUAGUAUGUAUUUAGAUAGUGUAAUAAAACCAUGGCUAGCUUAAUUUUUUGUUCAUACAAAAGUUUCUUGUACAUCAAAAUUUUGAUUUACUAAAACAAAUAUCUUCAUUUAAAAUUUAUAUACUUUUCAAAUACAUCUAAGUUUAAUUUAGACAUCAGAAUUUUUUUUUAGAGAAAAAUCUCUUGCAAGUCCACUAAGUCACUGUAUAUAUUAUCUGCUAAUUAAUCAAAUAUUUGUAAGCGAUUCAGAAUCUCAGAUGAAUGUAUGGAUUUGAUGCGGACUGAACAUAAUGUGCAUUGUGCAAGUUGGAUUGUGCGUUAAAAUGGAAAAGAAAAUGACUAACUAUUUAUAUUUAUCUUGCUCUUUAAAGAGUUGAACAAUAUUUAACUGAACUAAAAUUGAUUAGAUUAGUCAAGAUUUUGUCUAUAAAAGAAGAAAGUGCUUGUUUUGGCGGUGAUAUUCUGAUCGCUUAUAAAAAGAAAGGUAAUAAUCUUUUAGAAAAUACUAUGAAUAGCUAAAAUAGUUUACUAUAAAUAUUUGCAUAUAUCUCUUAUUGCUAAUUUUAAAAACUAUAAAUAUCUAUAUGUUGUUUUCAUCAAAUCUCAUUCUUAAAUAUUCAGAAUCAUGGCUUUCGCCAACUAUCAUCCAUGCACAAAACUCAUGUUUUAUGCUAUUGUUUUUUAUCUGUCAAUAUCAUUAUCAGCCUCUACAGAUGCUACAAUGAAGAAACCCAUCGCAAGAAGUUUGUUACCUCUUCAAAAGAAAACUAUUGUGAUAAGAAAUUCUGCAAUUAACAAAGAAGUUAUGAAUAUACAUUGCAGCUCUACGGAAAGUGAUUUGGGGUUAAAGCAUAUCCCUUAUUUUCAGGAUUAUAUUUUCCAUUUUAGGGUAAACUGGAAAGGCACUACAAAAUUUCGUUGCCAUGUUACAUGGCGUGGAGGUGGAGAUCAUUGGUUUACUGUAUUCAAACGUGGGAGAGACAAAUGUAGUGAAUGUGUUUGGCAGGUCUACGGUGAUGGUGGAUAUGGCGAUAAACCUCUGAUGUAUUAUAAUCGCGGGGACGAAGGCUAUCACCUUUUUGAUUGGGACUAGUCUAAUUGGGACACAUAAUUUCAAAACCAGAAAACUACUUUGUAAUAGAUCAACUAACAAUAAUAUAAUUUGACUAAGAUUUGUAACUUAGUAUUUUAUGUUAUUAUUGUUGUUGUAUCAUCUGAAGAAUUUUAAUCUGAUGUAAAAAUUGUUUGAAUUAUUGAAAGAAAAAAAACUGGUUUCCUAU
rnacentral:lncRNA from 1 species